rnacentral:rRNA from 1 species
CAGCCGCCACGGUAAUACGAAGGGGGCUAGCGUUGAUCGGAAUUACUGGGCGUAAAGCGCACGUAGGCGGUUUCUUAAGUCUGAUGUGAAAGCCCCCGGCUCAACCGGGGAGGGUCAUUGGAAACUGGGAAACUUGAGUGCAGAAGAGGAGAGUGGAAUUCCACGUGUAGCGGUGAAAUGCGUAGAGAUGUGGAGGAACACCAGUGGCGAAGGCGACUCUCUGGUCUGUAACUGACGCUGAGGAGCGAAAGCGUGGGGAGCGAACAGGAUUAGAUACCCCCGUAGUCCCUGUCUCUUAUAA